rnacentral:lncRNA from 1 species
CUCACUGAGAAUGUUCACAGAUGCUUCCUCUAAUCAGUAUGGUUUACGUGUUCUUAAAUCAUCAGCGUACUUUGUUCAGACCCCGAUUUUAUUUAAUGGAUAUCAUUCUAUUUGCUGUAUCAAAGGCAAAGGAGCAAAAGCAAAGAGCAUGAGUCCAGAACAGCACAGCCAUGCAAUUCUAAACCAGGAUUGCCACCUUGGGGAUGAGAGCAAUUAGCAGACUGGGAGACAGAAAAAUAUGAAAGAGUAGGUAUGAGUUGGUGGAGCCCAUUCCAGGCAGAGGACAAAUAAAAUUGUUCCAAGUAGUGGGCUAGAGUGAGGAGGAGAAAGAAGGAGAGGAGAGGAAGAAUUGAGAGAAGGAUGAUGGGAAGAUACAGUGAAGAGAGAGAUGGGAGGGAUACAGUGCAGAGAGAUGGAGGAGGGAUGCAGUGCAGAGAGAGAUAGAGGAGGGGCACAGUGCAGAGAGAGAUGGAGGAGGUAUGCAGUGCAGAGAGAUGGAGGAGGUAUGCAGUGCAGAGAGAUGGAGGAGGGAUGCAGUACAUAGAGAGAUGGAGGAGGGGCACAGUGAAGAGAGAGAUGGGAGGGAUACAGUGCAGAGAGAGAUGGAGGAGGGACACAGUGCAGAGAGAGAUGGAGGAGGUAUGCAGUGCAGAGAGAUGGAGGAGGGAUACAGUGCAGAGAGAGAUGGAGGAGUGAUACAGUGCAGAGAGAUGGAGGAGGGAUGCAGUGCAGAGAGAGAUAGAGGAGGUAUGCAGUGCAGAGAGAUGGAGGAGGUAUGCAGUGCAGAGAGAUGGAGGAGGGAUGCAGUGCAGAGAGAUGGAGGAGGGAUGCAGUGCAGAGAGAGAUGGAGGAGGGGCACAGUGCAGAGAGAUGGAGGAGGGGAACAGUGCAGAGAGAGAUGGAGGAGGGGCACAGUACAGAGAGAGAUGGAGGAGGGACACAGUGUAGAGAGAGAUGAGGAGGCAUACAGUGCGGAGAGAGAUGGAGGAGGGAUGCAGUUCAGAGAGAGAGAUGGAGGAGGGGAACAGUGCAGAGAGAGAUGGAGGAGGGACACAGUGUAGAGAGAGAUGGAUGCAGUGCAGAGAGAGAUGGAGGAGGGAUACAGUGCAGAGAGAGAUGGAGGAGGGAUACAGUGCAGAGAGAUGGAGGAGGGAUGCAGUGCAGAGAGAGAUGGAGGAGGGGCACAGUGCAGAGAGAGAUGGAGGAGGGACACAGUGCAAAGAGAUGGAGGAGGGACAAAGUGUAGAGAGAGAUGGAGGAGGGGCACAGUGCAGAGAGAGAUGGAGGAGGGACACAGUGCAGAGAGAGAUGGAGGAAGGACACAAUGCAGAGAUGGAGGAGGGAUGCAGUGCAGAGAGAAAUGGUGGAGGGACACAGUGCAGAGAGAUGGAGGAGGGACACAGUGUA